GGAGAGGGAAUUACACAUCACCUGAUUUUGGAUGCAUGUGUGAAGUAUGCUACUCUACUCACAAGACAUCUGAAACUACACCCAGAUCAUCUAGAAGUUAACACGUUCCAGGUGAUGUCUCUAUGUAAACCAAGGGUUGGUUUUCAGUGGAUUGAAAAUGCCCUUCAAACACUGACCCUGUCACAUUGCAGAUGCCUUCAGGUAAAAAGUCAAUUAACCACUGGUGGGCAAUAUCCAAAAUUAAUAGCAGAAACAGAAAAAUAAAAGACUACUCAGCAAAGACAAGUAGAGUUUCUGGAGGCUGGGUCAUCCAAGGUCAAGGUGCUGACAGAUGGAUUGUCCCUGGAAAGCCUGCUUCAUAGAUGACAAUCUUCUCCCUGUGUUCUCAGGAGUGAGGGUACCUUUCUGGUGCCUUUUUUCAUAAGGACACUAAUCCCGUUCCUGAGGGCUCUACUCUCAUAACAUAACAUCCAGAAGGUCCUACAUUCUAAUAUCAUCACACUGCAGAUUGGCAUGGUAUGGAUGGAAGUGAAGAAAAAUGUUCCAGGUUGGUUGUGCAAGACUUUCAAAAUGAAAACAAUUGAGAGACAGAUGCAUGGAAAUCACAGAUGAAGAUGAAAAUACCACCUUCAUGGCCAGUCAAGUGUUGAAGAAAGAAUGUGAUUUAGAUGCUGCCAAUGGUACCUACAAUUACACUCCAAAAAAAUGGAACUCACUUCAAACUAAGAGCCCAUUCCAUGGAGGAGAGGAGAAUGAGAAUGUAGAACAGUCAGAGAAAGGUAGAGAAAGGAAGAAUCCCAGCCAAUUCUUGAAGCUUAGCUUUAAAUCCAGCUUGUUCCUAAACACUCAGC
rnacentral:lncRNA from 1 species